AUGCAGUUGGUAUCGGGAGGCCACACUACCAUUAAUGUUAAUGGCCAGGUUAGCAAGUUCUUUGCCAAUGGUAGGGGCCUGCGGCAGGGUGACCCUGCCUCGCCUAUCCUGUUCAAUUUCGUUGCGGAUGCUCUGUCUCGUUUGCUCUCUAGGGCUUCUACCUCCGGGCAUAUGUCUCUUGUUAGUUCUCAUCUUUUACCCCAUGGUGUGACCCAUCUCCAAUACGCGGACAACAUUAUUAUCAUGGCCGAGCUGAAUGCCGCCUGCCUAGCGCACCUAAUGUUUAUUCUUCUAUGCUUCGAGGCGAUGUCGGGGCUUAAGAUUAAUUUUGCCAAAAGUGAAGUGGUUGUUACGGGUGUGGACGAAUUGGAAGCCAUGCAAGUGACUCACCUUCUUAAUUGUAAGCUGGGCUCCUACCCGCUCAAAUACUUAGGUCUUCCUAUCUCCCCGGAUGUGCUUCAUGCUAAAGAAUUUGCCCUGGUGGUCACAAUGGUGGGGAACAGGGUCCUCCCCUUGCGGGGUAGAUAUGACACGAAUGCGGGUAAAAUAGCUCUUAUUAAUGCCUGUCUCUCCUCCCUCCCCAUGUUCGUGAUGGGCUUUUAUCUCUUGCUGGCUGGGACUCAUGCUGGUUUUGAUAAACAUUGUGGGGCUUUCUACUGGAAUGCGGCGGAUAAUCACUGCAAAUAUCGCUUUGUUAAAUGGAAGCUGAUGUGCAGGCCCAAAACCUUGGGGGGUUAG
rnacentral:rRNA from 1 species